UCGGAUUUCAGCUUUUAUCCACCGGGUUUAUCCUGUUGCAAAGCAGAGUACACAGUUUUAGACACAAAAUAAUUGCAGUUGAAAUGGAUACACAUUCUGGUGGUAAGAUUUGGAAACGUGGUAUUUGAUGGAACCCUGUUGUAACAUCUAAAACUCUUUGGAUUUUUUAAAAACGUAUUCUGUGUAAUCCAGUAAAAAUUUGGAUUCGUCCAGUAUUUAUAGAGUAGAUUAUUAACCGCAGUGGUGCUCAUUCCAGGGCCCUGCCGGGUAUUUUGUGCUAUGGAUGUGAGUACGGCAAAGAGACUGAAUUAAGCUGUUUUGUAUUUGGAAUCGGAUUGUUCACGUUGCAACGUUGCUGCAAUGAUAAAUGGAUGGAUACUCUUUACACUUUGAAGUGGAUUUAAUCUUCACUUUUAAGCCCCUUCAUCUCACCUACACAGCAGGAGAGCUUUGGCUUUGAUAUUUGGGGAAAUGGCUGUUAUUUUACUUACAGAUCACGCUAUUCUAGUCUUGGCCUAGUUAAAAGCAAAUGAG
rnacentral:lncRNA from 1 species